UACGUGAUAAUCAAGAACAAUUUGCAGCAAACACACGAAUCAUCGUGUCUACUAUGUACUAAUUUAUAUGGAUGAUGGAACUCAAUCAAUACUUUAACAACUAAAAAGAGAAGUAGAACCACUUUGCCUGUAAUUUUUCUCUGUCAUGAUUCUUGGACCUUUCGAACAUAAUCCACGAGUAUUACAACUAUGAUCGCAUAUCUCGGAAUACCAAAUGAUGUCAUACAACUAUGAAUAUUAUUUCCUAAAAACAAUAAUGAAGAUGCAAUUUUCUUAGAGAAGUGGACAUGUGACCUUUUUCUUAAAUGGUAAUAAUAUUUUCCAUAAACGACACAAUAGUAGUCUAGGAAUUUUCUGUACAAGUAAGCAAAACAACGCGUUUUAACCAUUAUACAUGUGAAAUAUCACAUGUAUUUGAUUUUUUCUUGACCGAUAAUGUGAUUACAUUCGUAAAGGACAAAAACGUAGGUGUGGAAUUUUAUGUGAUAUAAUAUGAAAUUCCUUUUUCUUAAAUGGUAAUAAUAUUUUCCAUGAACGACAUAAUAGUAGUCCUGGAAUUUUCUGUACAAGUAAGCAAAAUAAUGCAUUUUGACCAUUGUAAUUGAUUUUUUCUUGACUGGCUAUAUGACUAUAUUCAUAAACGGCAAAAAGUGAAGUCUUCUUCUCAUGUUAGAGAAACCCUAUAAAUUCUAAUGAGUUUCUCACUUAUUUGCAUAUUCCUUCUUACAGAAAAAAGUGAAUUACAGUCUUUAUCCUCUUGACUGAAUUUUGCUUGUCUUCAAAAUAUCUUGAGUUCUUUUCUCUUCAGAUCACCCACCACCUACAAGGAGGAACUGUAUGCUACAUUUUGUUCCAAUUAUUGCCUGCACCAACAACUCUAUAAUCCUAUUUAUUCCCAGGCAUGAAGCUCUUGAUUCCAGCAAAGUCGAGACGUAACUAACAUAGGUGGUCAGUAAAAGGUGCUUUGUCCAUAAACAAACAGAGAAUAUAUUCUACCAAGAGGUGUCAUUGAAGUUUGCAUAAGAAGCUGGGUAAUGACUCUAAUCCUCCUAAACACGAAUCCUCGGAUUCUCAAAUCUGCUUGUCGAAUUCUCGGAUUCCCUCACUAGGCAUAAGUUCUUCAAAAUGUUGAAAGGAGUUCCCAUCAGAAGACUGCCUUCCGUCCAAUCUUUUAGCUGUUCUAAGGAUAUCAAGAAGGAAAGGCAGAAGCGUGGGGAAAAUGCAGCAACUGAUUACUAUCCCUUCAUAUCAUCCUAGAAGGACUACCCUAUUUGGCCGGAUUAGUGGUGCCAUCAAUUUUAGCUAAAGUUCAGAUAGGCUGAAGUUCUUCCAGGAUGAUGUGAAGUGGUAGAUUCCCGCUGCCACAUUCUCCCUCGCACUUCGGCUUUUCCUUGUCGACAUAGUUGGCACAGCUAACGGUGGAAAAGAAGGU